ACAUCGGUAGCUCAAUUGGCAGAGCAACGGAUUCCAAAUCCGUAGGUUGUGAGUUCGAUUCUUACCCGGUGUG
rnacentral:tRNA from 1 species